AUUGAACGCUGGCGGCAUGCCUAACACAUGCAAGUCGAACGGGGGUAGCAAUACCCUAGUGGCGGACGGGUGAGGAAUACGUAGGAAUUUGCCCUUAAGUGGGGGAUAACCCGGGGAAACCCGGACUAAUACCGCAUGAUCUCGUGAGAGCAAAGCAGGGGACCGCAAGGCCUUGCGCUUUUGGAGAAGCCUACGUCGGAUUAGCUAGUUGGUGGGGUAAUGGCCCACCAAGGCUACGAUCCGUAACUGGUCUGAGAGGAUGAUCAGUCACACCGGACCUGGGACACGGUCCGGACUCCUACGGGAGGCAGCAGUGGGGAAUAUUGGACAAUGGGCGAAAGCCUGAUCCAGCAAUGCCGCGUGUGUGAAGAAGGCCUUCGGGUUGUAAAGCACUUUAGGCUGGAAAGAAAAAGCUUUGGCUAAUAUCCAAAGCCUUGACGGUACCAGCAGAAUAAGCACCGGCUAACUCUGUGCCAGCCGCCGCAGUAACAC
rnacentral:rRNA from 1 species